ACACCGAAUGACCAAGGUUUCCUCAGCUAUGCUAAUCAGCUGAGGGUUAGUCGGGUCCUAAGGCGAACCCGAAAGGGGUAGUCGAUGGCCAAGCAGUUAAUAUUCUGCUACUUGCCCCACGUUAAAAGCGGACGGAGGCGAAAAGUUGGUGCGUACUGACGGAAUAGUACGUUGAAUCCAGUGGUAACACGGAGAUAGUACACAAAAGCUACGGCCGGCGUGAUAAUCCAGCGGAUCGACUUCCAAGAAAAGCGAGUGGUGGCAACCCGUACCGUAAACCGACACAGGUAGUUGGGAUGAGAAUUCUAAGGUGCUCGAGAGAUUCAUGGCUAAGGAACUAGGCAAAAUAGGCCCGUAACUUCGGGAGAAGGGUCGCCCACAGCAAUGUGGGCCGCAGUGAAAAGGUCCAGGCGACUGUUUAUCAAAAACACAGGACUCUGCUAAAUCGAAAGAUGAUGUAUAGGGUCUGACACCUGCCCGGUGCCGGAAGGUUAAUUGAUGGGGUUAGACUUCGGUCGAAGCUCUUGAUCGAAGCCCCGGUAAACGGCGGCCGUAACAAUAACGGUCCUAAGGUAGCGAAAUUCCUUGUCGGGUAAGUUCCGACCUGCACGAAUGGCGUAACGACUUCCCCGCUGUCUCCAACAUCGACUCAGCGAAAUUGAAUUGCCUGUCAAGAUGCAGGCUUCCCGCGGUUAGACGGAAAGACCCCGUGCACCUUUACUACAGCUUUGCACUGGACUUUGACACAAUUUGUGUAGGAUAGGUGGGAGACGUUGAAGCGUAGGCGCCAGCUUGCGUGGAGUCACCCUUGAAAUACCACCCUGAUUGUUUUGGAGUUCUAACCCAGGUCCGUUAACCGGAUCGGAGACAGUGUAUGGUGGGUAGUUUGACUGGGGCGGUCUCCUCCCAAAGAGUAACGGAGGAGCACGAAGGUGGGCUAAACACGGUUGGACAUCGUGUGGUUAGUGCAAUGGCAUAAGCCCGCUUGACUGCGAGAAUGACAAUUCGAGCAGGUGCGAAAGCAGGUCAUAGUGAUCCGGUGGUUCUGUAUGGAAGGGCCAUCGCUCAACGGAUAAAAGGUACUCCGGGGAUAACAGGCUGAUACCGCCCAAGAGUUCAUAUCGACGGCGGUGUUUGGCACCUCGAUGUCGGCUCAUCACAUCCUGGGGCUGAAGUCGGUCCCAAGGGUAUGGCUGUUCGCCAUUUAAAGUGGUACGCGAGCUGGGUUUAGAACGUCGUGAGACAGUUCGGUCCCUAUCUGCCGUGGGCGUAGGAUACUUGAGAAGAGCUGUCCCUAGUACGAGAGGACCGGGAUGGACGCACCUCUGGUGUACCGGUUGUUCCGCCAGGAGCAUCGCCGGGUAGCUAAGUGCGGAAAGGAUAACCGCUGAAAGCAUCUAAGCGGGAAGCCGGCCCAAAGAUGAGUCAUCCCU
rnacentral:rRNA from 13 species